rnacentral:rRNA from 1 species
GAUUAAGUUAUUAAGGGCGCACGGUGGAUGCCUUGGCACUAGAAGCCGAUGAAGGACGUUACUAACGACGAUAUGCUUUGGGGAGCUGUAAGUAAGCUUUGAUCCAGAGAUUUCCGAAUGGGGAAACCCAGCAUGAGUUAUGUCAUGUUAUCGAUAUGUGAAUACAUAGCAUAUCAGAAGGCACACCCGGAGAACUGAAACAUCUUAGUACCCGGAGGAAGAGAAAGAAAAUUCGAUUCCCUUAGUAGCGGCGAGCGAAAUGGGAAGAGCCCAAACCAACAAGCUUGCUUGUUGGGGUUGUAGGACACUCUAUACGGAGUUACAAAGGACGACAUUAGACGAAUCAUCUGGAAAGAUGAAUCAAAGAAGGUAAUAAUCCUGUAGUCGAAAAUGUUGUCUC